GGUUAAGCGACUAAGCGUACACGGUGGAUGCCCUGGCAGUCAGAGGCGAUGAAGGGCGUGCUAAUCUGCGAUAAGCGCCGGUAAGGUGAUAUGAACCGUUAUAACCGGCGAUACCCGAAUGGGGAAACCCAGUGUGACUUGUCACACUAUCAUUAACUGAAUCCAUAGGUUAAUGAGGCGAACCGGGGGAACUGAAACAUCUAAGUACCCCGAGGAAAAGAAAUCAACCGAGAUUCCCCCAGUAGCGGCGAGCGAACGGGGAGGAGCCCAGAGCCUGAAUCAGCAUGUGUGUUAGUGGAAGCGUCUGGAAAGGCGCGCGAUACAGGGUGACAGCCCCGUACACAAAAGCGCAUGUGCUGUGAGCUCGAUGAGUAGGGCGGGACACGUGGUAUCCUGUCUGAAUAUGGGGGGACCAUCCUCCAAGGCUAAAUACUCCUGACUGACCGAUAGUGAACCAGUACCGUGAGGGAAAGGCGAAAAGAACCCCGGCGAGGGGAGUGAAAAAGAACCUGAAACCGUGUACGUACAAGCAGUGGGAGCCCCACCACCAAAGCAUUCUCUGGUGUUGAAGGCCCUGCAAAGCAGCAUCGCGGUGGCGGAGCGUCGUUUGCGACGCCCGACACACAAAACAAGCGGUGAGUGCUUUGGGGUGGGGUGACUGCGUACCUUUUGUAUAAUGGGUCAGCGACUUAUAUUCUGUAGCAAGGUUAACCGUAUAGGGGAGCCGGAGGGAAACCGAGUCUUAAUUGGGCGUUAAGUUGCAGGGUAUAGACCCGAAACCCGGUGAUCUAGCCAUGGGCAGGUUGAAGGUUGGGUAACACUAACUGGAGGACCGAACCGACUAAUGUUGAAAAAUUAGCGGAUGACCUGUGGCUGGGGGUGAAAGGCCAAUCAAACCGGGAGAUAGCUGGUUCUCCCCGAAAGCUAUUUAGGUAGCGCCUCGUGAAUUCAUCUCCGGGGGUAGAGCACUGUUUCGGCUAGGGGGUCAUCCCGACUUACCAACCCGAUGCAAACUGCGAAUACCGGAGAAUGUUAUCACGGGAGACACACGGCGGGUGCUAACGUCCGUCGUGAAGAGGGAAACAACCCAGACCGCCAGCUAAGGUCCCAAAGUCAUGGUUAAGUGGGAAACGAUGUGGGAAGGCCCAGACAGCCAGGAUGUUGGCUUAGAAGCAGCCAUCAUUUAAAGAAAGCGUAAUAGCUCACUGGUCGAGUCGGCCUGCGCGGAAGAUGUAACGGGGCUAAACCAUGCACCGAAGCUGCGGCAGCGACACUGUGUGUUGUUGGGUAGGGGAGCGUUCUGUAAGCCUGUGAAGGUGGCCUGUGAGGGUUGCUGGAGGUAUCAGAAGUGCGAAUGCUGACAUAAGUAACGAUAAAGCGGGUGAAAAGCCCGCUCGCCGGAAGACCAAGGGUUCCUGUCCAACGUUAAUCGGGGCAGGGUGAGUCGACCCCUAAGGCGAGGCCGAAAGGCGUAGUCGAUGGGAAACGGGUUAAUAUUCCCGUACUUGGUGUUACUGCGAAGGGGGGACGGAGAAGGCUAUGUUGGCCGGGCGACGGUUGUCCCGGUUUAAGCGUGUAGGUGUGUGUUCCAGGUAAAUCCGGUUCACUUUAACACUGAGGCGUGACGACGAGGCACUACGGUGCUGAAGCAACAAAUGCCCUGCUUCCAGGAAAAGCCUCUAAGCAUCAGGUAACAUCAAAUCGUACCCCAAACCGACACAGGUGGUCAGGUAGAGAAUACCAAGGCGCUUGAGAGAACUCGGGUGAAGGAACUAGGCAAAAUGGUGCCGUAACUUCGGGAGAAGGCACGCUGACACGUAGGUGAAGUGAUUUACUCA
rnacentral:rRNA from 1 species